GCCUUGCUCAGUGGUUAGAGCAUGAGAUUCUUAAUCUCAGGUUCAUGGGUUCUAGCCCCACGUUGGGCC